AUUGAACGCUGGCGGCAUGCCUUACACAUGCAAGUCGAACGGUAACGGGCCUUCGGGUGCCGACGAGUGGCGAACGGGUGAGUAAUGUAUCGGAACGUACCUUUCAGUGGGGGAUAACGUAGCGAAAGUUACGCUAAUACCGCAUAUUCUGUGCGCAGGAAAGCAGGGGAUCGCAAGACCUUGCGGUGAUUGAGCGGCCGAUAUCAGAUUAGCUAGUUGGUGAGGUAAAGGCGCACCAAGGCGACGAUCUGUAGCGGGUCUGAGAGGAUGAUCCGCCACACUGGAACUGAGACACGGUCCAGACUCCUACGGGAGGCAGCAGUGGGGAAUUUUGGACAAUGGGGGCAACCCUGAUCCAGCCAUGCCGCGUGAGUGAAGAAGGCCUUCGGGUUGUAAAGCUCUUUCGGCCGGGAAGAAAUCGUAUCAGCUAAUACCUGGUGCGGAUGACGGUACCGGCAUAAGAAGCACCGGCUAACUACGUGCCAGCCGCCGCGGUAAAAC
rnacentral:rRNA from 1 species